UACAACACGGUGCAAGACAAAAUUUCCUUUAGCACCUACUCGGCGCGGUACGGCUCGCCACUACUGUACUGGACUCGGCUCGUCUCGGUUUAGUUGUUUUUCCAUCACAUUGAGUACCACCUCAUCGUGGGUGGAGUCGUCAUAGCACGGCGGACCGGAGGUCCUUUACCGUCAUUUGUGUGCGACACAAAUGCAACACAACAAUGGACAUGGAGGCGAUGGUUCACCUGCUGCUCGGUCUGUGGCUUUCUGUCAGAUUCAAGGUAAUAGAAGAGUCGGAGAAAGCUGAGAGCGACGAGUCGAAACACUGAGGAGACACACAGGAGAGUUUGGGAGGCGAUACAGCAGCAUCAAGCUGAAGACAAGAGGAUAUGAACUAUGAUAUGAGGGUGGAAGCUGAAUUAGUGAGGAUGACUCCUGCUCCUGUCAUCUCUAAGCUCCUCACACAUCUUUUACCUGCACAUGAGGAAAAUCACUCCUGUAGAAUGCAGGUAUGUUUGUCAUUAUUAUAAAAAGAUGUUGCCUGGUGACCUGUCAGAAACCCAUCAUACAGAGUCAGCCAAAAUAAUGUUUACACACAUCAGGAAAAGAAAAACUUGCAUAAAUAUUUCAAUACCAAAUUUAUUCAGACAUCAUGAGAGUAAUAAAAGUUAUCUUUGGCCUCUACAAUUACAAGAGGUGCUCAAAGUGGUGGCCACUGGCUUCCAGACAUUUCUGUUGUGUUGUAGACAUCACUUGUUGAUGCUCCAUUCAUGAGGGUAGCGCCAUCUGUUGGGAAAACAUCGUACAACAGGACACAGAGUUAUCGUACUUUGAUCAAACUUAGAAAGAGGAAUCUAAAUGUGUAGAAGUAUUUAUGCAAAUGAAAUAUCUGUAAAAGUUUUUCUUUUCCUGAUGUGUGUACAUUAUUUUGGCUGACUCUGACUCUGUGAACUUAAUGAGAACAAAACUGUCAUUUAGUUGUUGCUCUGAAAGCUUCUUUAGUGAAAACCGGUUGGUGUUCUGCUUUGAAACAAACUGCUGUUGAGGUCUGUGUUUUUAGGUUUAACCCCACAGUUUCUGAAUGAACUGAUAGUUGUUUUUUUUUCCUGAUCAAUGUGGACGUUAUAAUUGAUGGUAACAUUUACUGGUCAUAUAAUCAGCAUGACAAUAUAACAGUAUAAUAUUCUGACCACCUGACUAAUACUGUGUUGGUCCCUUUAUGCUGCUAAAACUCCUCUGACCCAGUGGUUCAUCAGAACCUCUGGGGAUGUCCUGUGGAUUCUGUGGAUCCUGUGGGUUGCAGGGUGGGUCCUACCUAGACCAGGCUGAUCCUGGACCAUCCCACAGAUGCUCCAUCAGAUCUGGAUGUGGGGAGUGUGGAACCCAGGUGAACAGCUUAGCUCUGUCGUGUUCCUCGGGCCACUCCUGAGCAGUUUUAAUUUGUCCUGCUGAGGGUGGCAGCUGGCAUCAAGGACUGCUGUUGCCAUGGAGACUAGGGGGUUGUUUGUCCUGCAGUGUUUAGGUGGUGGUACAUGUCAAACAUCCACAUGAAUGUCAAGGUUUCCCAGCAGAACGUUGCAUUAGAACAAGAUGAUGGAUGUUGUUCUCUUCAGCUGUCAGUGGUCAGAAUGUUGUGGCUGAUCAGUGGAUCUGUCUGCCUUUACUCUGACAUCCAGAGUUAUACAAAAGUGUAGUAUGUGUGCAGUGCAGAAGAGAUUUACUUUACUGUAUGCAGUUUUUUUUUUAAGGGAGAGCAUUUUUUUUUAUCCACCUGAAUGAAGACCCAAUCUUUCCCUUCAAAGGAUAGUUAAUAAUUACUACGGCUUCCAUAGUUUUCCCAUCAGAGAAAAUCAAAUCCAUAUACAGAUUUUUAUUAAUUCCAGGGCUGGUUCAGUAAAGAUUACAAUAAUAACUACAUCAGAUGAUUCUUUGUCACAAUUGGAAUUUUGCAGACUGAGAGAUGGUGGAGAAGGUUUCAGUUCUUGUUUCAGCAAAAUAUGUUAGAAUAGAAGAUCUUUAUUGUCGUUGUAAAUUAAAUUAUCUGCAAACCAGCAAAGUACAUCAGUCUGAGGUAUCUAAAAAUUUAUUCUUAAUGCUGGAGAGCGUUUGAUGCUGAAGCAGUGACCAGUUUUUCUGUUUCUUCUCUGGAGAUGCACAAUGAGGGACGUCUGCAGCGACUGAGAAAGAGUCUCACCACAUCCUGACAUGAGGAAAAAGACUUUAUUGAAGAUUACAAUGGGAAAAACUAUCAGACAGCAGACGGCUGCAUUCAAGGUGAGCUCUGAACAUUUGAUCUGGAACAGGAAUUCAGUAACGGCAGCAUGAGCUUCAUUUCAGUCUGUAGCUGCUGAAUUCAUGGAUGAAUCAUCUGGCACUAGAGAGGAAGACCAUCAAACAUCCACGUCAGCUGAUGGAGGUCCAAGAGUCUCACCAAACAACCUACAGAGUGAAGACCUCCAAUCUGAUUGGACGGCCUCCUAUUCAGCCACGUGUGAACAAAUGCCUCUAAGUUGAUUUGUUUUCUAAAAUAAAUCUAGUUUGAGUCCUAA